UUGCCAAAUUUUAGGCUUUCCUAAAACUUGUCAGUGAUGACGAGCAGUUACUGCCCCAGGGAUGUGGGUCCCUAGGAGCGUGGAAAUCCUAAACCACUGUCUUCUGUUGAUGCUUGGAAUGCAAGCAGAGGAAGGACUGUUUCUUGAGGGGAAGGUCUGAUGGCAUUCCAUGGCUUGGUGCCAGUGUGGCUUGUCCAUCACAUCCAUAAGGCUCCUCAUAUGUUGUUGCUAACCCAGUGCAGGACACUGAAAAGGAAAAAAGAAAAUGGGGAGAGAAAAGUGUGAAUAUUUUCAGUUCAGUCCCUACCUGACAUGUGUCAUGUCAUCAGCUGUGAGAAAGGAGAGGAAGAAGCAGCAUCCUUGGAAACUUGUCUCUCUGCAGGGCUCCCCCCACUGCUCAUCCACUCUUCAGCAGCCAAAAUCGACCAUUAGAGCACCUCUUCACAUGCAUUUUUUAAAUCAGGACUUUAAUUAGAAAAUACAGUCCUCCUCCCUUCCCCUAGUUAUCCAAAUAAAAGGCUAACAUCAUGAUUCAUUUUUUUUUACAUUAACUCAGCCAGAUUCUUACCGUGCCUGACACCUCUCUGUGACAUGAUUGAUGUACCAAGGCUUCCCCUGUUAUCUCCUACCUUCAUCUGAUAUGGCACUCAGAGCUUGGCAGUGUCAGAAGCUACAUCUGCCUCUUUAGUUGUGGCAGGAGCCCAAACCCUGUCUCUUGGAGGGGACUCACUCCUCCAUGAUCCCUUCCAGGUUGUCAAUUAAAUCUGUUAUUUUCAUUUCAGCAUGUUUGCUUGCUGUGAUCCGAAGGAGAUGCUCUGCUCUGCAUGGAAUCUCUACUUUCAGGAGGACAACAGGAGUUAUGUGGGCCCUGUUUUCCUGCCUGGGUCCUGUGGAGGAAGGAGCAUUCACGUUCACAUGCUCUUCGUUGUUUCAGGAUUAUUUAAGAAAUCAGUGCUGUUGAACUAGCAGGGGAUCUUCCCUUUGGUGACCUUUGCCAGAGCAGCUGAUUGGUGUGCCCCAGCUGCAUGCCAUCAUUUUCUUGGGAAAGUUUUAAGACUGUCAGAAAAAUGAGCAUCUUCUUUCCUAGCCCUUACUGACAUGUAUGGGCUUUGCUGGCUUUUCCAACUCCAGUGUGGGAGGGGUUGUUUGUUUUCCUUUUAAAUGUUAUCCUGCCAUCCUCCUUUUUUAACAAUGCUGUAUAUAUAUGAAGGCUUGCUAUGUAUUCAGCGUGGCACAUGGACGGAGUGGAUGCUUUGAACUGCUUUUGCAACAAUGGAUUCUGCUUGACUGAUAAUGAAACCAUGGGAUAGACCUCAGGGAGUGGUAAAGAGAUGAGGGAUCCUGAGGUCACUGUGCCAUGUGGGACAUCCACUGAAUGUGCCAAAGAUUGUGAACAUGAGUCUUCUCAUGAGUAAUGCUGGUUGAAGUUGAAGAGGCUGAAAAAUUCUCCUCUGCAUCAUGCAGUCCCUUGUUACAUGUCCUUGCCUUGGAGCUGAAGUCAAAGUUUCUGUUUGUAACAGAAUAAUUGUGUCAUUAAGGAAUUGAGGCACCAUUGCUUGGGUGAGAUGCAAAACCUUAUGCCUUGAAUUUCUUAGAAAUAGAAGUGUUCCUUGGUUUUUGGAGGAAUGUCUUGGUUCAGUGUUUUUUUCCAGCUGAUAUAAGUAUACACAGAACAAAUACAUGGCAAGCAGAACAGAGCUGGUUUUAGAAAGGGAUAACGUUGGACAUUCAUUGCAGCACAGGUUAUUCUGCAUUUUAAAAGGUUCAAAAUAUUCAGUGUUCAAUUGUUCACUCCACUUUCCAAGUGUUUGCUGAGGCUGAAGACCUCGUUAGUGUGUUAAAAGCUUGCCAGAGUGCUUGUUUUCCCUAAUAACUUCUGAACUGGCUUAUUUAAACCAGAUUUUAUGGAGGUUAUGAAAUUCCUAUAAAUUUUCCGAAAAAAUUUUUGGCUGAGCA